rnacentral:rRNA from 1 species
CCUACGGGUGGCAGCAGUCGGGAAUUUUGGGCAAUGGGGGCAACCCUGACCCAGCAACGCCGCGUGAGCGAUGAAGGCCUUCGGGUCGUAAAGCUCUGUCGGGAGGGAAGAAGGCUCUCGGGGUGAACAAUCCCGGGGGAUUGACGGUACCUCCAAAGGAAGCGCCGGCUAACUCCGUGCCAGCAGCCGCGGUAAUACGGAGGGCGCAAGCGUUGUUCGGGUUUACUGGGCGUAAAGCGCGCGUAGGCGGAUCCCUCGGCUUAACCGAGGUCCCGCAUCCGAUACUGUCUGGCUCGAGUCUAGGAGAGGAAAGCGGAAUUCCCAGUGUAGCGGUGAAAUGCGUAGAUAUUGGGAGGAACACCGGUGGCGAAGGCGGCUUUCCGGACUAGUACUGACGCUGAGGCGCGAAAGCUAGGGGAGCGAACGGGAUUAGAUACCCGAGUAGUC